GUGAACUACCACGAACCUAAAGGUAACGUGGCUUCUAAAAAAGAAGCUACAUGGUCUCUAGCUUCGUCCCUAUGGGGUAAGUUCACCAGACUCCGUUAGGAGAAAUCCUAGCUACGUUAAUGAGGUCAUGACACCUUCGGUUGACGCACCAGACCGUUGCUCUGUC
rnacentral:sRNA from 13 species